AGUGAACGCUGGCGGUAGGCCUAACACAUGCAAGUCGAACGGCAGCACAGUAAGAGCUUGCUCUUACGGGUGGCGAGUGGCGGACGGGUGAGGAAUACAUCGGAAUCUACUUUUUUGUGGGGGAUAACGUAGGGAAACUUACGCUAAUACCGCAUACGACCUACGGGUGAAAGCAGGGGAUCUUCGGACCUUGCGCGAUUGAAUGAGCCGAUGUCGGAUUAGCUAGUUGGCGGGGUAAAGGCCCACCAAGGCGACGAUCCGUAGCUGGUCUGAGAGGAUGGACAGCCACACUGGAACUGAGACACGGUCCAGACUCCUACGGGAGGCAGCAGUGGGGAAUAUUGGACAAGGGGCGCAAGCCUGAUCCAGCCGUACCGCGUGGGUGAAGAAGGCCUUCGGGUUGUAAAGCCCUUUUGUUGGGAAAGAAAAGCAGCAGGUUAAUACCCCGCUGUUCUGACGGUACCCAAAGAAUAAGCACCGGCUAACUUCGUG
rnacentral:rRNA from 1 species